rnacentral:rRNA from 1 species
UACGUAGGGCGCGAGCGUUAAUCGGAAUUACUGGGCGUAAAGCGUGCGCAGGCGGUGAUGUAAGACAGAUGUGAAAUCCCCGGGCUCAACCUGGGAGCUGCAUUUGUGACUGCAUCGCUGGAGUGCGGCAGAGGGGGAUGGAAUUCCGCGUGUAGCAGUGAAAUGCGUAGAUAUGCGGAGGAACACCGAUGGCGAAGGCAAUCCCCUGGGCCUGCACUGACGCUCAUGCACGAAAGCGUGGGGAGCAAACAGG